UACGUAGGGCCCAAGCGUUGUUCGGAUUUACUGGGCGUAAAGGGCGCGUAGGCGGCUUGUUAAGUCAGCUGUGAAAUCUCCGAGCUUAACUCGGAACGGGCAGCUGAUACUGAUGUGCUAGAGUGCAGAAGGGGCAAUCGGAAUUCUUGGUGUAGCGGUGAAAUGCGUAGAUAUCAAGAGGAACACCGGAGGUGAAGACGGGUUGCUGGGCUGACACUGACGCUGAGGCGCGAAAGCGUGGGUAGCAAACGGG
rnacentral:rRNA from 1 species